rnacentral:misc_RNA from 1 species
CGGUAAUAAUGGCUGAACUAGGCCAAUUUCCCUAAAGGACCAAAAUCCCACCCCAAAGAAAGAAAAGAAGAAAACCCUUAUCAAAUUGGCCUACUAAAAAGAAAAGCUGAGUGUAGUUGUUAUGUUAGAGCUCUAUCAGUUCAGGGAUGAGCUUCAAAAUGAAUGAAAGCUCCCUCUCCGAGAACUGUGGUUUUUUGUCCACUUGAACCUUUCCUUCUUCCUCCUUCUUCCCUUCUUCUUCUCCGGCCCCGGUCGCCUUCCCUGGCUUUAUCAUCAUUUCCUCCAUUGCCUCUGUGAUUUCUUGUACAAGAUCAACUAUCACUCCAUCUACUCCCAUCAAAUGCUGCAUGUAAACCGCUUCUGCCACAUUGUUCAGUUUUCCAUAGGUUAAGAGGGAUAGUUCUGACUCUCUGAUCUUCUUAACAGUCCCUGGAUUUCUAAAUAUUCCUUUCACUUCUGACACUAUCCCCUGUAAUCCACCUUCCAAGCAAACUUUCAAAGCUUCCUCUAAAGAAUUUCUUCUCACAUCAUGAUACAACUCGGUUCCCCCAUUUGUCAAGAAGAAAACCGGAUACGUCCCCUGUAACUUUCGGACAAGCAAUGCUGCAUCUGGUUGGAAAGUGGAGAAGAUGAUGGGUCUUUCUUUGGCAUUCUCAAAGACCACCUGUAAUACAGCCUGAAGAACACAAGUAAGAUAACCAUGAUCAUAGACUAUGUGGUCAUCAAACUUUAACUCAAUAUUGAAGCCUAAAGAGGAUUCCACCUUCUGAAAAGCUUCUUCUAGAGUGCAAAGUUUAUCAUCCGUUUCAACAUUCCAAUUCACAAUUUUCCCAUCUUUUGUUUUUCUCAGCAAGCAAUUUCCCUCCUUCUGAGGAUCUUGUUGGGGACCGUAAUAUAGGAAUUCUGCAAGGGUUAACUCUGUGACUCUUCUCUCAAAAACAGUGCCUUCGUUUACAGAUAGAAUAACGUCGUCGUGAAAUAUAACAGGGCAGUUGUCCUUUGUCACCUGAACGUCGAAUUCAACGAAAUCGAUAGGGAAUUUAGCGGCGGCAUUAAACGACAAGAUGGAAUUCUCUUUAAUGGCCCUCAUUCUCCUAUCUGAAGAUUGCAAAGCAUUCAUCCCGCUCCCUCUAUGCCCAAUCACCAAGAAUUUGGAGGCUCUAAAAGCUUUCCGUCCCAAUUCCACACCUUUGGAGAAGCGAUUUGAGUAGAGGGCCAGAGAGGCAUUGUCCGGCACCUGAUCGAGGUGAGGAACGUCGGAGACAUGGACGGCCUUAAGAGCCAUUUUUCGAAAAAAGAAAGAGAGAGGAGGGAGGAGGAGAAAAUGAGUGGGUGGUAUAGGCACAAGGCCUUUGCAAAGAG